AUACGGAGGAUGCAAGCGUUGUUCGGAAUCACUGGGCGUAAAGGGCGCGCAGGCGGUUUGGUAAGUCAGAUGUGAAAGCCCACGGCUCAACCGUGGAAGUGCAUUUGAAACUGCCAGACUUGAGUACCAGAGGGGAAAGUGGAAUUCCCGGUGUAGAGGUGAAAUUCGUAGAUAUCGGGAGGAAUACCGGUGGCGAAGGCGACUUUCUGGCUGGAUACUGACGCUGAGGCGCGAAAGCGUGGGGAGCAAACAGGAUUAGAAACCCUAGUAGUCC
rnacentral:rRNA from 1 species